CCGCACUAGUGAUUAAAUGCGUAGAUAUAACGAGGAACUCCGAUUGCGUAGGCAGCUUACUAUAUUGCUACUGACGCUGAGGCACGAAAGUGUGGGUAUCAAACAGGAUUAGAUACCCUGGUAGUCCACACAGUAAACGAUGAAUACUAGCUGUUUGCGAUAUAUUGUAAGCGGCCGAGCGAAAGCAUUAAGUAUUCCACCUGGGGAGUACGUCGGCAACGAUGAAACUCAAAGGAAUUGACGGGGGCCCGCACAAGCGGAGGAACAUGUGGUUUAAUUCGAUGAUACGCGAGGAACCUUACCCGGGCUUGAAAUGCAGAUGAUCGAAGUGGAGACACUUUUUCCAGCGAUGGCGUCUGUGUAGGUGCUGCAUGGUUGUCGUCAGCUCGUGCCGUGAGGUGUCGGCUUAAGUGCCAUAACGAGCGCAACCCUCAUUACUAGUUACCAUCAGGUCUAGCUGGGGACUCUAGUGAGACUGCCGGCGUAAGCUGUGAGGAAGGUGGGGAUGACGUCAAAUCAGCACGGCCCUUAUGUCCGGGGCGACACACGUGUUACAAUGGGGAGUACAGCGGGAAGCUACCUGGCGACAGGAUGCCAAUCUUUUAAAACUCUUCUCAGUUCGGAUCGGAGUCUGCAACUCGACUUCGUGAAGCUGGAUUCGCUAGUAAUCGCGCAUCAGCCACGGCGCGGUGAAUACGUUCCCGGGCCUUGUACACACCGCCCGUCAAGCCAUGGAAGUUGGUGGUGCCUGAAGUACGUGACCGCGAGGAGCGUCCUAGGGCAAAACUGAUGACUGGGGCUAAGUCGUAACAAGGUAGCCGUA
rnacentral:rRNA from 1 species